rnacentral:lncRNA from 10 species
ACAUCCACCUGCAAAAGGGGGCAAUGUCCUGACUGCUGCCCCUCUCUGUGGGGGCGGGAGAGGGGGCGUGGAGAAGGGCAGAAAGUGGUAGAGUUCCAGGUCCCAUGCCAAGAAACACAGAACUAGUUCUAACAAGCCUCUCAAUGACACACUGGAUUCACACACCACGGCCUGUGUGGACAAUACCCUAAUCUGGGUACAUCCAAACACAGUACUCCAAUUUCCUCCCACAUUCCAAAGACAUGUGCAUCAGGUUCAUUUAGCAUGUCCACAUGGCCACUGUGUGAGUGAGCAUAGGUGUGUGAGUGCACCUCGUGACGGAAUGGCAUCCUGUCCAAGGCUGGUUUCCGCCCGGCACCCUGAGAUGCCAGCAUGGGCUCUAGCCACCAGGACCCUGAACUGGAAUAAGUGGCUGAAGAAUGGCUGGGAAUGGGAAGAAGAGUCACAGGACAUGACUACAGCUGGGAAGAAGAAAGGAAAGAAAAAUCUAUUUCAUAUAAAGCGCUUUGCUAUCAAGCCAGACUCCUCCAUAUACUUGCUGUGUGGCCUCAGUUAAUUACUUUUCUGAAAUUUUACUUUUAUUCCUGAUAAAAAGGAGUCCUAAUGCUC